GCCAUCUGUUAUGAAGUACAGUAUUGUAUGGUCUUCGUCCCAAUGCCUUUGACACACUUUGCUGUUGGCAGACACAUGACAGCAGCCAAUCAGCGAACAGGUUCUGUGGAAGCAGCCACUGAGUACAGGAGCAGCCAAUCAGCACACAGGUGGACACAGCUGACUGGGAUAAACAAGACGCUUCACCGAGAGAAUUGCAACUAGCCGCACUGUGCAGAGGAUGGACCAAUAUGACAACCACAGCAACAGCAACAGCAGCAGCAGGAGACGAGUGACUGAAAAAUAAGAGGAGAACCACCUCCAACAGAACUGAUAGCAGUGCAUUUCCUUACUAACUGCCACUUGGACCUGUUGAAGGCAUGACAACUUGGUGAGAAAAUGUGAAAAAGCUCAUUAAAAGUGUGAAAGUGCUUGUGAAAACUACUAAACAUUGAGCAAGUGAAACUUUCUGUCAGAAACAAGAGAACUGCAAUGCCCAGUGUAAUUUAACUUACUGCAACCAACGAGGAUUUCUUUUUUUUAAG